rnacentral:rRNA from 1 species
AACGGCCGUACCAUGCUGAAUAUACCGGUUCUCGUUAGAUCACCGAAUUUAACAUCAUUGGGCGCGGUCAGUACUUGGGUGGGUGACCACCUGGGAACACUGCGUGCCGUU